rnacentral:rRNA from 1 species
CUCGAAAGAGUGAACUAGCUAACUGAAAUCAUUUGUGUGUCACAAGUGAUGUCGUAAGGGAAAAUAAUGAUAUUACCUUACUAUUAGUGUCGUCCAAAGCUGGUGCCAGAAGACUCGGUAAGACCAGAGACGCAAACGUUAAUCAUCUUAAUCAGGCGUAAAGGGUUUGUAGGCAGCUUUAAAAAACUAAAUUAUAAUGGCUAAAGUAAAUUUAGUGAAAAUUAAAGCUAGAAUCUAAUAGAGGUUAUAUUGAAUAAUACUUAGAGUAGGGGUUAAAUCCUUAGAUACUAAGGGGAAUUCUUAGGGCGAAAGCAUUUUUCCACUAAAGAUUGACGCUGAGAAACGAAGGUGAGGAUAGGAAAUAGGAUUAGAUACCCCGGUACCCCUCUCUGUCAACGAUGAAUGGUAAUUACUAGUAUUAAUUACUAGAGGUAAAGCUAACGCGUUAACCAUUCCGCCUUGUGAGUACGACUGCAAAGUUGAAAACAAAAAAAUUAGUCGGUCCUGGAGCAAACGAAGUGAAGCAU